GGACUUUUCACAAAUGCCGACUUCUGGUUUGUGCCUUUCCCAUAUUUUAUUAAAUUCGUGUUUUAUUUUAAAAAAUUACAGCAACAUUAUCAAAGACAACAUAUGUACAAACAUUUUACAAAAAAGAACAUUACCAAUAUCAGUGGCAGUAAGGGCAAGCUGAAGAAUAAAUAGACUGAGUUUCCGGGCAAUGUCUGUCCUCAAAGACAUCCAAACUGCGUUCAGGCAGCUGAAACAGGCUUCUUUCCCAGUGACAAGCAUAUGUGGUCAGUAAUACAAACGAUGGUAAAUGAGGCUACUACAUAGGCCCAGUUAACAAACUCCUCUUCUCCUCGGGUAGGCCAUGAUACAAGUGGAACUCAUCAAAUAAUUUAAACCCAAGGCGAUAACAACGCUAUUUCCCAUCUAAACUCAUUUAAGCCUUCACAAUGUCGCAAUGGAUUCAGUUACUUGCAAACGAUCCCGGGUUGUCAUACAGAUACUUGUUUUUUACACAUAACGCUAUGCCAUCCCUUCCUUCACUGCCCCAGUCAGGUUUCCUGUUGUUGGACCGAAAGGGGAUACAUUUUAGAAAUGCUUCCUUCAAGACAGAAGUGAGAAAGAAAGGAGACCCUGAGGCCAGGAUCUAUUAAACCUGGUGUGUGCGCAAAAGGGAGGGGGAAGGCAGGAAUUUGAAAGGAUAAACGUCUCCUUUGCGCCGAGGAAUCAGGAAGCGUGACUCACUUGGGUCUGGGACGAUACCGAAAUCCGGUACCCCACCCCAUCCCCUGCCCCGCCGGGUACCUACAAGCUCGGUUCCUUUCUCAACUCCCCCAGUUCCUUGAUCUCCACCUUCUUGUACUUCCCCGACUUUCUCCGGUUGGUGAUCACCAGGACGGCCAUGCCGGCGACGAGGGCCACCACGACCACCACGAUGACGGCGAUGAGGCCGGCGGUGAGGCGCUUCAUGGAGAACUUCGGGGGAAUCUCGUCCAGGGCUCCUCAGGCUCAAGCACAACCUGGAAAAACGAAGGUGUUAAUGUUCCAUGAGGCAACUGAUGACCAAUGGGG
rnacentral:lncRNA from 1 species